rnacentral:rRNA from 1 species
UACGUAGGGUGCAAGCGUUGUCCGGAAUUAUUGGGCGUAAAGAGCUCGUAGGUGGUUCGGUAAGUCGGAUGUGAAAUCUCCAGGCUCAACCUGGAGGGGUCAUUCGAUACUGCCGUGACUAGAGUUCGGUAGGGGAGUGUGGAAUUCCUGGUGGAGCGGUGAAAUGCGCAGAUAUCAGGAGGAACACCGGUGGCGAAGGCGGGUCUCUGGGCCGAUACUGACGCUGAGGAGCGAAAGCGUGGGGAGCGAACAGG